UACGUAGGUGGCAAGCGUUGUCCGGAAUCACUGGGCGUAAAGCGCACGUAGGCGGACUCUUAAGUCAGGGGUGAAAUCCUGGGAGCUCAACUCCAGAACUGCCUUUGAUACUGGGAGCCUUGAGUUCGAGAGAGGUGAGUGGAACUGCGAGUGAGAGGUGAAAUUCGUAGAUAUUCGCAAGAACACCAGUGGCGAAGGCGGCUCACUGGCUCGAUACUGACGCUGAGGUGCGAAAGCGUGGGGAGCAAACAGG
rnacentral:rRNA from 1 species